rnacentral:misc_RNA from 1 species
GAUGAAGAACGUAGCAAAAUGCGAUAAGUAAUGUGAAUUGCAGAAUUCAGUGAAUCAUCGAAUCUUUGAACGCACAUUGCGCCCGCCAGUAUUCUGGCGGGCAUGCCUGUUCGAGCGUCAUUUCAACCCUCGAGCCCUCGGGUUUGGUGUUGGGGAUCGGCGAGCCUUUCUGGCAAGCCGGCCCCGAAAUCUAGUGGCGGUCUCGCUGCAGCCUCCAUUGCGUAGUAGUAAAACCCUCGCAACUGGAACGCGGCGCGGCCAAGCCGUUAAACCCCCAACUUCUGAAUGUUGACCUCGGAUCAGGUAGGAAUACCCGCUGAACUUAAGCAUAUCAAUAAGCGGAGGA